ACGCCGUGAUACUCCAGCGCCCUCGCGAUC
rnacentral:sRNA from 1 species